rnacentral:rRNA from 1 species
UUGUUUGAGGAUAUCAGUGUUGAUGGCACUGACCAUUGGAACCCCGCAUCUGGUCUGCCUCCCCCCUCUAGUUCGGCAUUGAAAACCGCCUUGAAUGUUGAUGAAAUCACCGAUCUUGAUUUGGAGGAUGAUACCGAAGAGCAACCUUCUCCGACAGUAGCUAGUUCAUCUAAAGUGAGGCUUGGGGUCACGAUUCCGGAGAAGAACAAGAAACCAAAGACUGCACAAGUGAUGCAAGAGGAGAUUAUAAAGAUUAGUUCUAUUCCCCAGGCUUCACACACAUCGUUUCAGUCUUUCCUAAAGAAAGAUGAGACCGUUUCUGUUGCCUCUACCAUGGAUUUAGUUCGUGAUUGUGGCGUAAUAGACGGCACUGAUGAGCAUUUCAUUGCAACUGAGCUCUUUCUGAAGAGAGAGCAAAGAGAGAUGUUCUUGCACAUGACAUCCGACUCUCGAAAGGGUUGGCUGCGUAGGAGGUUUGACCUCAAGUAUGGGAACUAG